rnacentral:rRNA from 1 species
AUCGAACGCUGGCGGCAUGCCUUACACAUGCAAGUCGAACGGCAGCACGGGUGCUUGCACCUGGUGGCGAGUGGCGAACGGGUGAGUAAUACAUCGGAACAUGUCCUGUAGUGGGGGAUAGCCCGGCGAAAGCCGGAUUAAUACCGCAUACGAUCUACGGAUGAAAGCGGGGGACCUUCGGUCCUCGCGCGAUAGGGUUGGCCGAUGGCUGAUUAGCUAGUUGGUGGGGUAAAGGCCUACCAAGGCGACGAUCAGUAGCUGGUCUGAGAGGACGACCAGCCACACUGGGACUGAGACACGGCCCAGACUCCUACGGGAGGCAGCAGUGGGGAAUUUUGGACAAUGGGCGAAAGCCUGAUCCAGCAAUGCCGAGUGUGUGAAGAAGGCCUUCGGGUUGUAAAGAAGUUUUGUCCGGAAAGAAAUCCUUGGCCCUAAUACGGUCGGGGGAUGACGGUACCGGAAGAAUAAGCACCGGCUAACUACGUG